ensembl:snRNA U6 U6 spliceosomal RNA
GUGCUUGAUUCAGCAGCACACAUUCUAAAAUUGGAACGAGACAGUGCAGAUUAGCAUGGCCCCCGUGUGAGGAUGAAAGAAUGGAUAUUCACUUAAAGGUUUU